UUUUCCCAGUUUCCCUGCACUCACGGACAGAGCCAAAAAGUCCUCCGAAAAUUUUCUGGAUGUGGAUUCAUCAUCUUGACUCACCAUUUAUACUGUAAAAUUUCUUCACAUACUUUUUUGGAGGGGUGAGUGUGGGUGGGUGUGCCCCCGCCCAGUCUGUUGCCUCACACCUCUGGAAUUGUGACUUGCAGUUGGCGUUUGAAAACAUUUAAUUAGGCAGCAUGAAAGGAGGGGGGCCUGAGGGCUUUGAGGGCGGCCACGGAGAUGCCCGAAUGAAAGACUCCGUUGUUGCCGGCUUGGAGCAGAAGAUGAAAGGGAAGGGGAGAUGAGGGGGUCAACAGCAGCCCCAGCUCCCCCUCUCCCCCGCGGCGCUCCCUCACAUCACCCAUGUGAGUGAGGAUUCAUAACCGGGACCCACAGCUGUUUACACAGGUCACAGAGGCAGCCCACCACACUCACAGAGACACGGUGACACUCACAUGCGUGCACAUCACUGUGUCCAUGCCAUUUAUUUACUUCUGAGCCCCUUACUUCCACUCAGCUUACAGCUGUCCUUAGCAUUUAUGCGAGCACAACCUUCAAAAGAACUUUCUAAGUGUUUUAGCAAAAUUUGGAAGAUGAUCCCUUUCUUUCCAUUUCAUCAGCUUUCCUUCACGGGGUCCUGGGAGAACAAAUGUAAUAAGGUCUCUGCAUCGCUGGUUUAACUAAUCAUUUUGAAAGCUGAACAGCGUGCAAUCCCAAUGUGUUUAGAACAAUUCUAAAAUACUUAAGUUUAAAAUAUUAAAAGUUAAACAUAUUUUACUUUGGUUUGAUGAGGUUACUAGAAUUUCUUAUAGUCUAUAAUUUAAGCAGUUUUUGCUUAUAUUUCAUUUACACAUAUUAUUAGCUUUGUCUUUGAUUUCAUCAAUAGCAAAGACCGUACUUUUCGCCAAAAACGCACCAAAAAGUAUAAACACUGUUACAGCAUCGCUGGACGUUCAGGCUGCAGGUCGGACUGGCUGGUGUCACAGCGACUGUUGGUGUGAGAUCUACACGGCCCCAUGACACCUGAAACCUGGCUGUCAGACCGCCCACUAAGAGGCGGCUUGGACGUCAAGAGCUCUGGUUCAACUGUAUAUCAAACAUGAGACCCUAUGCUCACAUCCAUGCAUCUUAAAACUGCUCAUCCACCUUAUUAUUAUUGCCUUAGAUAAGAACUCACACCAAUGUGUGCGGCUACGAAUUAAUGAGCUUUUGUGAGAUAGGAGAUUUAUAACCAUAUAAGAUAAAUAUAAUAAGAUGUGUCUGUGCUCUUUCCUCUGAGGUUCUUCUCCGAGUCGUCAUGCAUCCAGAGCUCACACCGGGCUUAAGAUCCGUCACCUCCCUCGAGGACGUCAGCGCCUGCCGUGAUGUGUCAAAUUAAAAACUCCAUCUCUGGAGUUUCUAUUUAAAACUCGACAUCCAGUCGCCAGUCGGCGGAGCUGCGGCUCUCUCGCGAGAUUCGACACUUCUGCAGCUGACAGGUUUCAUUUUGGGGUCUGGCAUGUAUUUAAAAAGACCUGCAAGCCUCCAGAGUUAAGGACAGUCAGAAUUUUCAGGUCAUGGGGGGAAAGAAGUACAAAGGUUGUCAUUAUUAGAUACUUAGACUGCCCAGUAAAACCUUUCACUGUGCCAGUAUGCAUAUAACUCAUGUAUAAGAUCUAUACUUUACCUGUGGAAGAAGUUUUUAUAUUUCUUGUUGCUGUGACAACUGUGAGCUCAGGCAUACCCCGGGACAACAGCGGGGUCCUGAUUUGCUUGCAGAUGAUCUGGCUCUUGCCGGCCACCCACCAGACAGAACAUACUUGGCUGAGCUGAGCUGACUUGGCUCGGUCUCCCCUGGCUUGUUGCGGCAUGCCGGAGCAUACAUGAGAAUUAAGAGUAAUUUGUACCGAGACUUAGUGUCAGACUCCUUGCCAUGUGUUACGCGCCGGUAAUUUCCCCGUCUCUGGCGUCUCUUACUGCCGCUGGCAUGUUGUUGUGUUGGAUAUAACUGCACAGACAACUUUCUUGAAAGAUACGAUAAUUACAACCCAGGAAAGACAAUCCUCCAUCUCACUAGUAAUGCUUAUUCUGGGCCAGUACUCUUGAGGUAAAGGAAAACAGCGUCUGACUGUUCCUGUAUGAACAUACAAGACGUCCCACAUAUCUGUCCUAUAAUACGGCUUCCUCACCCGAUUUAGUAAAUGGGCUCUUUCCUAGAGCCAUAGUGAUGGGUUAGACUGGAUGUGGCAGUGAUGGAACAGAAUCAACUCGUAUAAUGGUUUGUACAGUAAUGGCCCAUGACCACUAGCACAGACCGUUUCAGCAGUAUGGAUCAAUGGCGCUCUGAGAGUCAGCAAAGGGAUUACACAAAUGUUAUUCUUUUUCUCACCUGAGAACCAAUUCCCAUCAGCGGCAAAUAUUUGUGGAAUCUGUAACCUCAGCCCUUCUAUUCCGGGGUCUCUGUACGUGACAGUGAAGCAGAGACUGAUCCUAUGAUUAAGCGAUGCAGAAAUGAGGAAGAGCUGUCAGAUAAAUAGGCUGAUGUUUUUAUGGUGUUUCUCAACUAGCUUGACUUUGAGAAGCUUUGGUUAAUGAUACAUACAAAACAAAACUGUGCACAAAGUAUAUGAAACAUAACUGUGCACAAAGCAUACAAAUUAUAACUGUGCAUAAAGCAUACGAAACAUAACUGUGCACAAAGCAUACAAAUUAUGUCUGUGCAUAAAGCAUACGAAACAUAACUGUGCACAAAGUAUAUGACACAUAACUGUGCACAAAGCAUACAAAUUAUAACUGUGCAUAAAGCAUAUGAAACAUAACUGUGCACAAAACAAACGAAACAUAACUGUGCACAAAGCAUUCAAAAUAUAACUGUGCACAAAGCAUACGAAACAUAACUGUCACAAGUUCCUGUGCUACAGCACCCAGUGCUGCGCCAACCCUGCGAAACCGACCACACUUGUGGAAAUUUCCCUCUGGGAUGCCAAGAAUGCCAUAUGGCAGAAGCAGCCGAUGGGCUGAUCUCCGAACACCAGGAAAGUACCGCCGUGAAUAUGGGCAAUUGAGGAGAUCAGGUUAAGAAAAAUCCAAGAGGAUUACAACACAUCCAUGAGGGUCUGUGAGGAUCACAAAUUGGGUAUUAUACUCCAUGUUGGUGCGAGGCGCUGAGGUACAGGGUACCAUGUGACAGGAAUGGAUAGUGAUGGAUUCAUAAUCUACCCACACCUCUACAGUUAUGGAACUUGCGUUCGUGUCGCGUUCCACCAUGCAUAGGAAGAAAUACCACAAGCCAACGGCAGAGAAUUCUGGGGAAGAGGUGAAAAUACAGCUUUGUGUGGCGCUGUCGAGUAAAGACGGAUAACCCAGUAUGUCUCAGGAGUUGCUACAAAGGGGGACUGACUGCUAAAUUUAUUGGAUGGAUUUGUAGCCGGCUCAUAGAUAAAGGAUGAGGUGGGAGGACAAGAGGUCAGGAUUACUGACGCCUGGGACAACGGCCGUGUGUCUGUGCUGCUCCCUCCCAGCGCAGUCCCGCUUCCUGGACGGCAUUGAAGGAGCCACGCAGGAAUAUUUACAAGGCCGGGGACACCCUACAUGUGGCGACAGGCCAUCACAGAGAACACAGAUGGACACAUUCACACAUGCAAGCAUGGGAUCCGGGCCCCCAACCCUGGAUAUAGCCAAUAGGAGCCGCCUCUUGGAUUUCCGCUUACUGUGUGGUUUCAGCCAUUUAAUUCAACAUUCAUAGAUCUGCGAGCAUAGAGAAACACCGGAAAAAGGGAGAAAUGACAGAGGGAAUGCGCGAUUGGACAGAAGAGGAAUCCAUCUUUUUUUUCAGCAGAAAAGAGGCUUGUUCAGAGGGGAUGGUGAGUGGCAGGAAAUCCACGUGGCUGUGACUGGAAGAGUACUGGUUCAAGGCUCAGCAG